GUCCGUUAGUUUCUAUAUUAAAAGAUGGCGAUGAGAUACUGGUGGAAAUGCGAAAGCCUUCAUUUCUUAAGGGGGCUGAGCUGAAGAAGUGUGAUUUAUCUGGUUUAUGAAAAUGAUGAUGAUUGUGACGGAGAUGAAGAAUCGCUUGAUGAAAGUCAGCAAUCUGUAUCAGCACCAGCAAAUCACAGAAAUUACUUUCUUCUUCUCUUCAUUGUCCUUUCUUGUUUCUUUGUGUUGUUGAGUUGGUUGGUGUUCAAUUAUAUCACUUAGGGUAUGUUUGGCAGCACUGUCCUGGAGCUUUGGAAUUGAAAUGGGAAGCUCCAAUUCCAAAUCUACUGUUUGGACAUCACUAAAUAAUGUAGGUUUGGGAUUGCAUUCUAAUCCUAAAGAUCCCAAAUCAUAAACCUGAUAUUUCAAAUGCCAAUUCAAUACCAAAUCGUCUGAAACUUUUAACCCGAUACAGAGCCCUCUCUCUCCGUCGCUCACUCGACAACACCAAAAUGAUCGUAGAUGGCUCACUCGACACCAACAAUUCCAUAACACUUCCUUAUGGAUUGACAAUCAUUCCAUAUAUCUCAAGAACCCUAGAGGAAAAUACAUCUUAAUCGAGCAUUUCAACAUCGUUGAAACUGUCUUCAAACGAAGCAGGGCUGUUGGAGAAGGUGCUCAAACCAAGCCGACAUGCAAAUUGCUAAUGAAGGGUCCAUUGAUUUGGAGGAAUCAUUCGGGAAUGAUGGGUUGAAUGACGAUGCUACUAAUGUUUGUGGAAAGCCAACUGGGAAGAUCUUCAUCCUCUUUAGAUUCACAAUCUUAAAAAGAAAAAAAGAAAACAGUGCAACUUAGAUGCACUCCAUGCGGCUUUUGCAAUGUGUGGCUGACUCCUUUGAGAAAGUUUUCUUUGAACCUCUAAUGCCGAGUACCAAGAUGGUGUUAUAAGAAGUCUCUGAGGAUCUAGAUUUGAACCAAACACAAGUCUUAUUGGAGUAGAUCUAUUGAAGCGUGAUCAAUGAAGUUUGAGACAAUGAUACAACUUUGUUGAUUCUAUGCUGCUGCCAUUUGCAUUCUGUUGCGGAUAUGGUUUACUUUUAUUUUGUUUCAAUUUGAUGUGGUUGGUUGCUAGCUCGGGUUGGUUGCUAUGGGUCUUAUUGUUGGGUUAUUUCACCCACAAGUGAUUGGCUUGUGUAUCGGUAAGCAUUGUGUGUUGCUGGCGUAUGCGUAUCACCUCCAGUGUAUAGGUUGAGGGUUAAGCAGUUUGUGAAGGACAAAAGUGUGUAUUGGGUAUUGGUCUGAGGAAAAAUAGAGGUGGUGAGAGACACUAAAGUGAGUGUUUGGGUAUUUCUUUGUUAUGGUAUUUUCUCAAGUCUCUGAAUAACUUUUGUGGAUAACCUGCUGUAAUUUUUCCUGUGAUAGUGAAAGCUUGUCCCGUGGUUUUUUUUUUGGCUCUA